GACGAACGCUGGCGGCGUGCUUAACACAUGCAAGUCGAACGGAAAGGCCUCUUUCGGGGGGUACUCGAGUGGCGAACGGGUGAGUAACACGUGAGUAACCUGCCCUUGACUUUGGGAUAACUUCAGGAAACUGGGGCUAAUACCGGAUAGGAGCUCCUGCUGCAUGGUGGGGGUUGGAAAGUUUCGGCGGUUGGGGAUGGACUCGCGGCUUAUCAGCUUGUUGGUGGGGUAGUGGCUUACCAAGGCUUUGACGGGUAGCCGGCCUGAGAGGGUGGCCGGCCACAUUGGGACUGAGAUACGGCCCAGACUCCUACGGGAGGCAGCAGUGGGGAAUAUUGCACAAUGGGUGGAAGCCUGAUGCAGCAACGCCGUGUGCGGGAUGACGGCCUUCGGGUUGUAAACCGCUUUCGCUCAUGACGAAGCUUUGUGUGACGGUAGUGGGUAAAGAAACACCGGCUAACUACGU
rnacentral:rRNA from 1 species